rnacentral:rRNA from 1 species
CGAAAGCAGGUCAUAGUGAUCCGGUGGUUCUGAAUGGAAGGGCCAUCGCUCAACGGAUAAAAGGUACUCCGGGGAUAACAGGCUGAUACCGCCCAAGAGUUCAUAUCGACGGCGGUGUUUGGCACCUCGAUGUCGGCUCAUCACAUCCUGGGGCUGAAGUAGGUCCCAAGGGUAUGGCUGUUCGCCAUUUAAAGUGGUACGCGAGCUGGGUUUAGAACGUCGUGAGACAGUUCGGUCCCUAUCUGCCGUGGGCGCUGGAGAACUGAGGGGGGCUGCUCCUAGUACGAGAGGACCGGAGUGGACGCAUCACUGGUGUUCGGGUUGUCAUGCCAAUGGCACUGCCCGGUAGCUAAAUGCGGAAGAGAUAAGUGCUGAAAGCAUCUAAGCACGAAACUUGCCCCGAGAUGA